GUUUGAUCCUGGCUCAGGACGAAACGCUGGCGGCGUGCUUAACACAUGCAAGUCAAGGGCGGCCCGCAAGGGCAACCGGCGAACGGGUGCGUAACACGUGAGCAACCUGCCGAAUGCGUGGGGGAUAGCCGGCCCAACGGCCGGGUAAUACCGCAUACGUUCCUCUGGGGGAGUCCCUGGGGGAGGAAAGCUGUGGCGUAAGCCAUGGCGCGCGUCGAGGGGCUCGCGGCUUAUCAGCUAGUUGGCGGGGUAACGGCCCACCAAGGCGACGACGAGUAGCUGGUCUGAGAGGAUGGCCAGCCACAUUGGGACUGAGAGACGGCCCAGACUCCUACGGGAGGCAGCAGUGGGGAAUCUUGCGCAAUGGCCGAAAGGCUGACGCAGCGACGCCGCGUGGGGGAUGACGCAUUUCGGUGUGUAAACCCCUGUUGCCCGGGACGAACACCUCCUUUUGGGGAGGCUGACGGUACCGGGUGAGGAAGCACCGGCUAACUCCGUGCCAGCAGCCGCGGUAAUACGGAGGGUGCGAGCGUUGUCCGGAAUCACUGGGCGUAAAGGGCGCGUAGGUGGCUACUUAAGCGUGUGGUGAAAGUCCGGGGCUCAACCCCGGAUCGGCCGUGCGAACUGGGUGGCUUGAGCACUGUAGAGGCAGGUGGAAUUCCGGGUGUAGCGGUGGAAUGCGUAGAGAUCCGGAAGAACACCGGUGGCGAAGGCGGCCUGCUGGGCAGUGGCUGACACUGAGGCGCGACAGCGUGGGGAGCAAACAGGAUUAGAUACCCUGGUAGUCCACGCCGUAAACGAUGGGCACUAGGUGCCUGGGGGAGCGACCCCCUGGGUGCCGUCGCUAACGCAUUAAGUGCCCCGCCUGGGGAGUACGGCCGCAAGGCUGAAACUCAAAGGGAAUUUGACGG
rnacentral:rRNA from 1 species